rnacentral:rRNA from 1 species
AUGUACGCGGCCCUCAGUGGGGCGCAAUGGGUAGUCGGCAAGGCGCUAGCCCCCGUUGCGGACGGGGUGCUGGAGGCUUGGGCGGCCACCAGGAACUUUGGUUUCAACAUAGAGGCCCUCAGCAUGGAACUGAUGCUGGUGAAGGCCACGCUCGAACAAGCUGGACGCAAGGAGCUCGGCGGGCCGGCCAUGGAGAUGUUGUUGCACAAGCUGCGUGACUCGGCGCAAAAUGCUGAAGACUUGUUAGAUGAGCUCGACUACUUCCGCAUCCACGAUGAGCUCCACGGCACCCACGAUGCUGCAGGCGAGCACGACAAGGGUUGCUUCCACAACCUUGCCUUCAAUGCUCGCCACACCGCCAAAGCUUUUGGCAAACUGGUCAACUGUGCUAAGCCUCGGCAGAGGUCACACAGCGACUCCUCGGCCCCAGACACCAAUCAGGAGCUUAGCGGAUGCAUGCCCAAGAUCGGUAAACUCCUCACUUGCUCGUCUUCCCCGCAUCCACAUGUUCGUGAUGAUGAUCGUGGCAGUGUGCAAGAAACACCAAAGCUUGAGUUUAAUAGGGUUUAUUUCUCUCAAAGGAUGAAGGACAUUGUAGAGAAAUUGCAACUUAUGCGCAAUGAGGUUAGCAAGAUUCUGAUACAUUGUGGCCCUAGAACUGUCCCAGACAUUGCCCUGAGCCGUCCUAUCACCAAAAGUAGAAUUGAUGAGCCAAAACUGUAUGGGAGGGACCAUGUCAUGAAUAGCAUCAUACAUGAUAUCACCGAGGGUCAAUACUAUGACAAGGGUCUAACUGUGCUGCCGGUUGUGGGUCCAGGGGGUAUGGGCAAGACAACUCUUAUAAAACACAUAUAUCGCAACCAGCAAGUGCAGAAUCAUUUUUCAGUCAUGAUUUGGAUAUGUGUAUCGCUCAAUUUCAAUCUAGAUAAGGUGCUAGAACAGAUUAAAACAUGUACACCUCAAGUUGGAAUGGAAAAGGAGGGUAGUACAACAGAAGAUUUGAUUGAACAAAGAUUAAAAUAUAAAAGGUUCUUACUUGUAUUGGAUGAUAUAUGGCGGAUUAGUAAUGGUGAUGACUGGAAAAAAUUAUUGUCGACACUCAAUCAAUCAGAAGAAAGGGGGUGCAUGAUUCUAGUCACAACUCGGUUUCAAGCAAUAGCACAAAAGGUUAAAACAACUGGCCAAUCAAUAGAACUGAAUGGUUUAGAAUAUGAAGAGUUUAGGAAGUUAUUUCUUGCAUUUGUCUUUGGCGAUGAAGAAUGUGCAAGGGAUAAACAUUUCUUACUUGAGACAGGAGAUAAGAUAAUGGAAAAGCUAAAGGGCUCCCCUCUUGCAGCAAAAACUGUUGGUAGAUUACUGAGUAAAGAACUUAGUUUGCGUCAUUGGAAAAGGGUCCUAAAAAGUAAGGAAUGGGAGAAGCAAACUGAUGACAAUGAAAUUAUGCCUGCCUUGAAGCUUAGCUAUGACUUUCUCCCUUUUUAUUUGAAACAAUGCUUUUCCUAUUCUGCAUUGUUUCCUGAAGAUUAUCGUUUCAGAAGCCACGAGCUCAUCAACCUGUGGAUCGGACUAGAUAUUUUGAUACCCGGUGGCCAAAACCAAGUUGUUCAAGAUAUAGGUUUGAGUAAUUUAAAUGAGCUAGUUAUCCAUGGAUUUUUCAGAGAAGAGGAAACCAGUGAUGGUCUGCACUAUGUUAUGCAUGACCUAUUGCAUGAUUUGGCAUUGAAGGUUGCAUCGCAUGAUUGUCUUAGUUUACAUUUCUCUGAUGUUGGGUCAGUAGAUAUUCAGCCAUCCACCCACCACUUGUCCAUACGCACAGAGAACUUGGUGUCUUCUCAAAACAUUAAGAGUGAAUUGGAAAAAUUGAAGACAUCAUUGAAGGUUGAACAUUUGCAAACAUUGAUGUUAUUUGGAGAAAUGGAUAAAGGUUUUGCCAAGAUAUUUGGUGAUAUUUGGGGGGAAGCAAAUGCUCUUCGUGUUCUUUAUUUGCCUGACAUGACAUAUCACGUGGAAUCCAUGUUACAUAACUUUUCAGGACUUGUCCACCUACGAUUCCUAUGUCUAGGGACAAAUGAGUGGCAGAUGCAUUUACCACUUAGCAUCCUUAAAUUUUAUCACUUAAGGGUUCUAGAUCUUAAGUCAUGGCAUGGCAGUUGUGAUUUUCCUGAAGACAUGAGCAACCUUGCAAAAUUGUGCCAUUAUUAUACCCCAAGAGAUGCGGAUCUUCAUUCUGAUAUUUAUAAUGUGGGAAAACUUAAACUCUUGGAAGAGUUGAAGGUAUUUCAGGUCAAUAAAAAGAGUGAAGUAUUUGAACUAAAGCAACUAGAGCAUUUGACCAAGCUAAGGGAGCUUGGCAUCUACAACCUGGAGAAAGUGCAUACAAAAGACGAAGCAGCUCAAGCAAAACUGAUAGAGAAAAACUACUUGAGGAAGUUAACAUUGGACUGGGAUAGUGAUCGAUCUACUGUUGAGCCUGGUGUGGAAGCAAUGGUUCUUGAGAACCUUCGACCGCAUGGAGAUCUUCAAAUGUUGUGCAUUAGAGGGCAUGGAGACCCUUCUUGCCCAACAUGGCUAGGUGAUGAGCUCGUUGUUGAUGCUCUACAAUCUCUUAGUCUUUAUUGUGUUUCUUGGGGAGUUUUCCCUUCUUUAGGGAAGGCAUGGGAUCUUCGUCAACUAAGAUUGGAGCAUAUUUACAAGCCGAAGGAGUUUACUAUAGAGAAAAACUUUUGCAUGCUAAUAAAGCUUGAACUAAUUGGCCUAGGAAGUUUUGAAAAAUGGGUUUACCCGGCUGAACAAGAGUCUUCCGUUAGUGGAGACUUGUUGCCACCGGAUGCUCAUAUGUUCCCUCUUUUGCAAGUUCUGAUUAUUCGGGAGUGCCCGAAACUAUUGGGGUUGCCUUUCUUAGAACACAUUGUUUCCCCAGAUUGGUUCCCCAAGCUACAAGAGCUUGAGGUAUGUGACUGUCCCGAAUUCUUGCCAGUGAUUCCCAUCUCCUGGAUGGAAAGUCUUUGUUUUGUCAAGAUGAAAUGUAUAAAGAUGCUAAAGGAGUUUGGGUACUCAAAAUCAUCCAAUGGAGCAGAAUUGGAAAUUAUCGGAGAGGGUGAUCUGCAUAGCAUCGACCAAGUGUUAGUUUUUGAUAAAGAAACUAGUCUUGGGAAGCUGAAACUCGAGAGGUGCCCACCUCUGGAGUUGAAGCACCUCUUGAUGCUAACCUCGCUAAAGACAUUCAUUGUAAGAAAAUCAGAUGGUUUGGUUGGACCCAGAGGUCAGGGUGAUGUGGAAUGGAAGCUCCCUGUUGAGUAUAUAAAGAUCAACGACUUACAUGGUAAUACUGGCGAGGAACUGACAGAACUCCUCCCCCACCUCCCAAAGCUCUCCAAAUUGGAAAUAUUUGAGUGUGAAAACAUAAAAAAGCUGGUAGUGGGGGUGGAUGUGCAACCAACAACACAAGAAACAUCAGAGAUGGGGGGAGGUGAAAUAACAGCAGCAGCAGCAGCAGCAGAGGAAGAGGAUGACGGGGUGCUGCUCUUCCCAGCUCAUCUCUGUGACUCACUAAGGGAAUUGGUGUUCUAUGACUGCCCAGAGCUGGUCCUGGUGGACCCGCCAACUCUUGUUCCUGGAGAAGGAGGGUUCCAAGCUUUGCGAUCCCUCCAGAGAUUAACAAUAUUGCGGGCCCCAAAGUUGCUAUCCACCUUCUCCUUUUCCCGACACCUUUUUCCUUCCUCCCUGCAGUUCCUGAGCCUUGUAGGUGUGGAAGGCAUGGAGACACUCGAGCCCCUCUCAAACCUCUCCUCUCUCACCAGAUUAGAAUUAAUUCGUUGUGGAAAGGAUCUGAAAUGUCAGGGCUUGUGGUCUCUCCUUACCACCGGGGGCCAGCUCAACAAAUUAAGAGUCACUGGUAGCCAUAGAUUCUUUGCUGAUUGGGAUCCCAAUCCCAGACGGGCUUUGGAGGAUGCUGAGGGAGGUGAAGAGUGGCAGACACAGCUUGUUUCAUCCACACUGCGUGAGCUCUGGACAGAUGACAUAGCAGGACUUCUUGCUGCACCCGUCUGCACAUUCCUCUCUUCCUCCCUCACCAAGCUGCAACUUUGGGGGGAUUUGUGUGAAGGGAUGGAGCUGUUCAGCAAGGAGCAAGAGGACGCCCUUCAACUCCUCUCCUCCCUCCAGAAACUAGAGUUUUGGAGUUUCAAGGACCUUCAACAACUCCCUGCAGGGCUGCGUAAACUUACCAGCCUCAAGAUAUUAUUAGUCAACUGCUGUCCAGCCAUCUCGUCGUUGCCCAACGAUGCCCUCCCGGAUUCACUGGAAAUGCUAGAUGUCUACAACUGCAGCGAAGAGCUAAAACAGCAGUGCAGGGGGUUGGAGGGAACCAUCCCAGAUAUCAUAAUAAUAUGA